CAGCCGCCACGGGAAUACGAAGGGUGCAAGCGUUACUCGGAAUUACUGGGCGUAAAGCGCGCGUAGGCGGUUACUCAAGUCAGAGGUGAAAGCCCGGGGCUCAACCCCGGAACUGCCUUUGAAACUAGGUGACUAGAAUCUUGGAGAGGUCAGUGGAAUUCCGAGUGUAGAGGUGAAAUUCGUAGAUAUUCGGAAGAACACCAGUGGCGAAGGCGACUGACUGGACAAGUAUUGACGCUGAGGUGCGAAAGCGUGGGGAGCAAACAGGAUUAGAUACCCCGGUAGUCCCUGUCUCUUAUAC
rnacentral:rRNA from 1 species